rnacentral:rRNA from 1 species
GAUGAACGCUGGCGGCGUGCCUAAUACAUGCAAGUCGAGCGAACGGACGAGAAGCUUGCUUCUCUGAUGUUAGCGGCGGACGGGUGAGUAACAUGUGGAGAACCUACCUAUAAGACUGGGAUAACUUCGGGAAACCGGAGCUAAUACCGGAUGAUAUUUUGAACCGCAUGGUUCAAAAGUGAAAGACGGUCUUGCUGUCACUGAUAGAUGGAUCCGCGCUGCAUUAGCUAGUUGGUAAGGUAACGGCUUACCAAGGCAACGAUGCAUAGCCGACCUGAGAGGGUGAUGGGCCACACUGGAGGUGAGACGCGGUCCAGACUCCUACGGGAGGCACCAGUAGGGAAUCUUCCGAAAUGGGCGAAGGCCUGACGGAGCAACGCCGCGUGAGUGAUGAAGGUCUUCGGAUCGUAAAACUCUGUUAUUAGGGAAGACCAUAUGUGUAAGUAACUGUGCACAUCUUGACGGUACCUACUCAGAAAGCCACGGCUAACUACGUG